rnacentral:rRNA from 1 species
GGGGGGGGGGGGGGGGGGGGGGGGGGGGGGCGGGGCGGGCGGGGGGGCCCGGCGGGUGGGGGGUGCGCGGGGGGCGCGCGGGGGAGUCACGCGUGAGUGACCUGCCCUUGCCCGUGGGAUAACUGCGGGGAACUGGGGCUAACACCGGAGAGGCGCCCCUGCUGCAUGGUGGUGGUUGGAAAGUCCCGGCGGGUGGGGACGUCCGCGCGGCUCAUCAGCUCGUUGGUGGGGUAGGGGCUUACCAAGGCUUUGACGGGUCGCCGGCCUGGGAGGGUUACCGGCCACAUUGGGACUGAGAUACGGCCCAGACUCCUACGGGAGGCAGCAGUGGGGAAUAUUGCCCAAUGGGGGGAAGCCUGAUGCAGCAACGCCGCGUGCGGGAUGGCGGCCUUCGGGUUGUAAACCGCUUUCGCCUGUGACGAAGCGUGAGUGACGGUAAUGGGUAAAGAAGCACCGGCUAACUACGUG